AUGUUUAUUUAUUGUGUAAAAUAGAAACAAAAAUAAAUAAAAAUAGGAAUGAUACCAAUAACCUAACACAUCCUUAAUUAAUGAGUCUAUUUCCAGCACCAUUUUAAAAGUUCAUUUAUUAAAUGAUUUAAACAUAACUUUACUCGGCUCGGCUCGGCUCGGCUCGGCUCGGCUCGGCUCGGCUCGUGUUUGACUCAUAUGCAACCAGAUUCAGUGGGGACUGGGGAAUCGACUCACGAAUAUACCUCCAGCAUUCGAGUACCAACCAGAGUUUAAAGCCUGAAGUUUGCAUUGUGAAGAAUUGAUAGUUUGGAACAAAGAACAACGAAUCCAUCCAAAUGCAGUUAUUUCUUCUUCAUGAUCGUCCCGGCAUGCGCUCCAGAGUUUGAAAGCCAGCCCAUCUGGUGCUUCUUCUCUGCCACAAGAACCAGUCUUAAUCAAUUCGUGCACAGGUUACCUGCAGCCAAAAUGCUGAAAUGGGGACAUCAUAAGUCUGUAGUACAUCCCAAACAUGGCGCACAGCAUCUGUGCCACCCUGCAUUCCAACCACAGCGCCAGUUAUAAUCCAUUCAGGAAGCUUGGGAGGCCUUCCAAUAGUUUCUGUGAAGUUUUCUAUGAGCUCGGAAGGUGAGGUUCCAUGCAAUAUCCUUCCUUGUACCGUGUCACCAUAUAUCUGCAAGCUUAUACAGAAUACACAAAGGAUGAUUUUUGAACAAAUAUUUUUAAGGAAAAAAAUCCAGUGUACAGAAAAUGAACUGCUGCAGGUGUGAAAUCUAAAUAGAGCAUAAAAUAUGUUACCAAAACUAUUUCCACUUGAUCUAUAAAAAAUCAGUUACUCCAAAUUUAUCACGC